rnacentral:rRNA from 1 species
CUACGGGUGGCUGCAGUGAGGAAUAUUGCACAAUGGGGGGAACCCUGAUGCAGCAACGCCGCGUGGAGGAUGACGCAUUUCGGUGUGUAAACUCCUUUUAUAUGUCAAGAAAAUGACGGUAGCAUAUGAAUAAGCACCGGCUAACUCCGUGCCAGCAGCCGCGGUAAUACGGAGGGUGCAAGCGUUACUCGGAGUCACUGGGCGUAAAGGACGCGUAGGCGGGUUGGAAAGUCAGGUGUGAAAUCCUACAGCUUAACUGUAGAACUGCACUUGAAACUUCUAAUCUAGAGUAUGGGAGGGGUAGAUGGAAUUAGUGGUGUAGGGGUAAAAUCCGUAGAUAUCACUAGGAAUACCUAAAGCGAAGGCGAUCUCCUGGAACAUUACUGACGCUAAGGCGUGAAAGCGUGGGGAGCAAACAGGAUUAGAUACCCUCGUAGUC